CAACCUCCUUUCUAAGGAGCACCACGAAAAGCACUCCAAUUGGUGGGGUGCGAGCCGUGAGGGGUUGUCGUCUGUAGUGGACGGGAGCCGGGUGCACAACAGCAAAUGAUUGCCAGACACACUAUUGGGCCCUGAGACAACACUCGGUCGAUCCGUGUGGAGUCCCUCCAUCUUGGUGGUGGGGUGUGGUGUUUGAGUAUUGGAUAGUGGUUGCGAGCAUCA
rnacentral:misc_RNA from 1 species